UAAAAUGUCAGCUGUUCAGUUUAUCGUCUACGCUGCUACGUGAUUAUAUUCAAUAUCAGCUGCGAAGAAGUUUGGAAUCUUGAUUGUGCAUGUUGUAUUCUCACCACUAUGGAGGUAAGCCUUCCUCUACUUACGUGACUCCAUAAUUUCUCAGACUACAGUUAUUGAAGAAGAUGGAUUGCCAGCUUCACGUUCUGUUUGCCUUUACUUUGGCUGAGUGCAGCGCUUGGUAAAGGGAUGCUGCCAGGCCUAUACCGAGGAUGAAACGUUGUUUCAGGGCCCUGUUAAUAGCGUCAUUGUAUUCGCGGGGAGGACGGAGUUGAUGUCCGCUUGUCAACAGCGAGAAAAAGCCAGAGACUCAAGUUCCUACCGUCCAUCGCAGUGAGACUGACAGACUUUCUUGGUCCAUUUGUAAG